rnacentral:rRNA from 1 species
UACGUAGGGUGCAAGCGUUGUCCGGAAUUAUUGGGCGUAAAGAGCUCGUAGGCGGUUUGUUGCGUCGGCUGUGAAAUCCCGAGGCUCAACCUCGGGUCUGCAGUCGAUACGAGCAAACUAGAGUGUUGCAGGGGAGACUGGAAUUCCUGGUGUAGCGGUGAAAUGCGCAGAUAUCAGGAGGAACACCAGAGGCGAAAAGCGGCGACCUGGACAAGCACUGACACUCAAACUACGAAAAGCGUGGGGGGAGCAAAACAGG